rnacentral:rRNA from 1 species
UACGGAGGGGGCUAGCGUUGUUCGGAAUUACUGGGCGUAAAGCGCACGUAGGCGGCUUUGUAAGUUAGAGGUGAAAGCCCGGGGCUCAACUCCGGAAUUGCCUUUAAGACUGCAUCGCUAGAAUUGUGGAGAGGUAAGAGGAAUUCCGAGUGUAGAGGUGAAAUUCGUAGAUAUUCGGAAGAACACCAGUGGCGAAGGCGACUUACUGGACACAUAUUGACGCUGAGGUGCGAAAGCGUGGGGAGCAAACAGG